AAACUAGUGGCGGGCUCGCUAUAACUCCGAGCGUAGUAGUAAAAUAUCUCGCUAGGGAGGUGUCGCGGGUUCCGGCCGUGAAAGCCCCAUCUUUUACACAAGGUUGACCUCGGAUCAGGUAGGAAUACCCGCUGAACUUAAGCAUAUCAAUAAGCGGAGGAAAAGAAACCAACAGGGAUUGCCCCAGUAACGGCGAGUGAAGCGGCAACAGCUCAAAUUUGAAAUCUGGCCUCGGCCCGAGUUGUAAUUUGUAGAGGAUGCUUUUGGUGAGGUGCCUUGUGAGUUCCCUGGAACGGGACGCCAGAGAGGGUGAGAGCCCCGUAUACUUGGACACCGAGCCUCUGUAAAGCUCCUUCGACGAGUCGAGUAGUUUGGGAAUGCUGCUCAAAAUGGGAGGUAUAUCUCUUCUAAAGCUAAAUAUUGGCCAGAGACCGAUAGCGCACAAGUAGAGUGAUCGAAAGAUGAAAAGCACUUUGAAAAGAGGGUUAAAUAGUACGUGAAAUUGUUGAAAGGGAAGCGCUUGUGACCAGACUUGUGCCGGGCUGAUCAUCCAGUGUUCUCACUGGUGCACUCUGCCCGGCUCAGGCCAGCGUCGGUUCUCGGUGGGGGACAAAAGCUUCGGGAACGUAGCUCCUUCGGGAGUGUUAUAGCCCGCUGCUCAAUACCCUACCGGGGACCGAGGU
rnacentral:rRNA from 1 species